rnacentral:rRNA from 1 species
CUACGGGUCGCUGCAGUGAGGAAUAUUGGUCAAUGGGCGCGAGCCUGAACCAGCCAUCCCGCGUGCAGGAUGACGGCCCUAUGGGUUGUAAACUGCUUUUCUAUGCCAAGAAACCUGAUUACGUGUAAUCAGUUGCCGGUAGCAUAGGAAUAAGCAUCGGCUAACUCCGUGCCAGCAGCUGCGGUAAUACGGAGGAUGCAAGCGUUAUCCGGAGUCAUUGGGUUUAAAGGGUGCGCAGGUGGGCUUGUAAGUCAGUGGUGAAAUGCUGCCGCUUAACGGUAGAACUGCCAUUGAUACUGCGAGUCUUGAGUAUGGUUGAGGUAGGCGGAAUGUGUUGUGUAGCGGUGAAAUGCAUAGAUAUGACACAGAACGCCAAUUGCGAAGGCAGCUUACUAAGCCAUUACUGACGCUGAGGCACGAAAGCGUGGGGAGCGAACAGGAUUAGAUACCCGGGUAGUC